UACGGAGGGUGCAAGCGUUAUCCGGAUUCACUGGGUUUAAAGGGUGCGUAGGAGGGCAGGUAAGUCAGUGGUGAAAUCUCUGGGCUUAACCCAGAAACUGCCAUUGAUACUAUCUGUCUUGAAUACCGUGGAGGUGAGCGGAAUAUGUCAUGUAGCGGUGAAAUGCUUAGAUAUGACAUAGAACACCAAUUGCGAAGGCAGCUCACUACACGAAUAUUGACACUGAGGCACGAAAGCGUGGGGAGCAAACAGG
rnacentral:rRNA from 1 species